rnacentral:tRNA from 1 species
GCCGGCUUAGCUCAGUUGGUAGAGCAUCUGAUUUGUAAUCAGAGGGUCAGGGGUUCGAAUCCUCUAGCCGGCACCA